UUCUUACACACCCCCAGCCUCCCCCCCCGCACCCCCCCCCCCCCCCCCCCCGCCCGCACUUGGCACCGUUUAGCUGCCUGCCUGCAAACUUAACAACCCCGGUUCUUGGUAUAAGCACUCAAAUUACCCUUCUUUCUACAUAUAAACACGGCCCGGGGUGUGCGGCUCUCCCCGGCCGCGGGGUCCCCCCGGCGCAGCCCGGCUCCUCCGCACCGGCCCCGGCCGGAGGAAGUUUCUGCUGCGGUACACGGCGGGAGAAAACGAGCCGGAUCCAGCACUCCCCCUCGCCGGGGCUCCCCCGGGCCAGCGCUCAGGCGGUGUUGACAGAAGAGGAUGGGUAGGAGAUAUCAAUGGCAGGCACACGUGUCCCAGGAGAGGGUGAGACACCAGCGGAGACGGAGCAAGAAAUGAGCCUCGGACAGCUGCAGUAAAGAAACUCAAACCCCUUUUGGAAAGUUGGGGGCACCUGCAGGCGGGGGGCACCCCAUGAAACACCCACCCCUCCGGGCAUCGGGGAAGAUCCAGCGGCUGUCAGAGCCUGGCGUGGGCCCCACCGGUGUUGGGGAAGGUGCAGAGCUGUGAGAGAGGCUGGGAGAGACCCUGCACCCCUCACGCACGGAGCUCCUGCAGCAAGGGGUGCAGGAGGAAAUCUCCCCUGAACGUCAGCUGCUCUGGUGGGGCUGCGCCAGGCUUUCUCUGCAGCCAAAAACGGGACGAGGAAGAAGAAAUACUGAACUCCUCCACAGCAGGGUGGGGGGCUCGUGCAUGCCAGACUUGGCGUGGGGAUGCUCCCACCUCCGUUGGCCCUCCCUGGGCUACCAACAAUUCCCACGCAGGCAGCUGAGCAGAGCCGAGCGGAGCCAGGAGCAGCCAGGGAGGGAGGGAAGGAGGGAGGCAGCAGCUGCAGUGACAGGGACCACAGCCUGGGCAUCCCCAUGCCGUUCAUUUUGCUGGUGACUGGGAGCACAAUGGCAUGGUGCAUCUUCUUAUGACACGGACAUGCAAGGGAGGAUGCUUGCAGGGGCAGAGCAGAGCAAAGGGGGAGAGGUUGGGAGAUGCCACUGAGGACCCCUCACACUGCCGGGAUGUGCCCAUGGGUAGAGGGGGACAUGUGAAGGGGACAACUGGGCACCCAGGGAACACAAUUGCUCCAGCAUCUAAAGGCCUGAAGGUUGGACAUAUGAAGCAAAUGUGGCUUGGGCUCAGAUGGGAGAGAAAACCCAUUUCUGGAUCACCUCUUCCAGUGGGAGACGACCUCAGAGGGGUCACGGAGGUCUGAGCUGACCGAGGGUUUGGCUGGGAGGCGUUAUGCUGACUUUUCUAAGUUGAUUGCAACCAAGCCAGCCCUGCUAGGGAUGGUUGUGAUGUUUAUUAAUGGUGGUGAAGGAAGGGACCAGCAGAUUUUUAGAUCCCCACAAGCAUAAGGAGCAGGGACGAGCCCUUUCCCAGGCGUUGGCCACGGACCAUGACCAUACCACUUCACCGUGGGGCUUCCCAGAUGUCGCUAUCGGGCUUCCCCGAUAGCCCCCUCCCCUGGCACCAAAAAACUCCACCACUCACUCAACCCAGGACACAGGCACGUCCCAGAAAAUUAAUGACGAAGAAAGGGAGAAUAAACCCCAAUGCAAGCAAGGCAGCACAGGCCCCUGCUCUGCCUUAGGGCUGCUCUCGCUAAAGGCUUGAUCGACCCUAUUUUGGGGACCUGUGAGAUGAACCCCAAAUUCAGAGCAAAUUCCAUUGGAUGGGGGUCUCUCAUUUCACCUUCAGACCAGGGACCCCCCGUUUCCACAGCUAGCUGCUGGGUGCAGACCCCUGGUCCCACCAUCGCAGCCUUUUGUCCCAAGCGAGAGCUUCCUUUGGGAAGGUGAUUUCACUCCUGUAUGCACUUUCCCUGCUUUACUUUGGGGUUGUGUCCCCCCUCCAGCCCCUUUAGCACUCCUUUACCUUGUUAAUAUCCUUUGACUGUCCUCACACCUGCAGACAAUCUGGUCCCCAACCACCUCCACCUCCCCCCCUCCUCAAAAGCUUCCCUCAGCUGUCUUUAAGUCGUAGCUGAAAUCUGCGGUAUGUAGGAGGAGAAAUUCAGUCUGACAGCAGUUUAAAACACCGCACUACUUGGCAGAUUUAAAUGCUAUUUUAAAUAUAAGCUAUGACACAAUGGACAAAAAUAGCAUUGAAAAUACCCUGUCAUGUUCCAUAUUGCGAGGAAUAGAGAAGCAGACCAGGCUAGAAAGGAGCAGAGAGAGGGGCCAGAUGGAGAGGAGAGGUUAUUUUGUUUGUUUUAAAGAAACUGGAUAAAUGUAUUUUGUAUGUGACUGUGUAAAUGUGUUUUAUGGAGCAUGGAGCCAAAAAAAUAAAAUAAAUAAAUAAACCUUCUCAUGAAAAA